GAUGAACGCUAGCGGGAGGCCUAACACAUGCAAGCCGAGCGGGAUUUGUUGGUUAGCUUGCUAACUAACAAUGAGAGCGGCGUACGGGUGCGUAGCACGUGUGCAACCUGCCUUUAUCUGGGGGAUAGCCUUUCGAAAGGAAGAUUAAUACCCCAUAACAUAUUGAUUGGCAUCAGUUAAUAUUGAAAGCUCCGGCGGAUAGAGAUGGGCACGCGUAAGAUUAGCUAGUUGGUGAGGUAACGGCUCACCAAGGCUGCGAUCUUUAGGGGGCCUGAGGGGGUGAUCCCCCACACUGGUACUGAGACACGGACCAGACUCCUACGGGAGGCAGCAGUGAGGAAUAUUGGACAAUGGGUGAGAGCCUGAUCCAGCCAUCCCGCGUGAAGGACUAAGGACCUAUGGUUUGUAAACUUCUUUUAUACAGGGAUAAACCUACUCUCGUGAGGGUAGCUGAAGGUACUGUAUGAAUAAGCACCGGCUAACUCCGUG
rnacentral:rRNA from 1 species